CCUACGGGAGGCUGCAGUGAGGAAUAUUGGUCAAUGGGCGUAAGCCUGAACCAGCCAAGUCGCGUGAGGGAUGAAGGUUCUAUGGAUCGUAAACCUCUUUUAUAAGGGAAUAAAGUGCGGGACGUGUCCCGUUUUGUAUGUACCUUAUGAAUAAGGAUCGGCUAACUCCGUGCCAGCAGCCGCCGUAAUCCGGAGGAUCCGAGCGUUAUCCGGAUUUAUUGGUUUUAAGGGUGGCGUAGGCGGCCUUUUAAGUAAGCGGUGAAAGUCUGUGGCUCAACCAUAGAAUUGUCGUUGAAACUGGGAGGCUUGAGGAUGUUUGAGGCAGGCGGAAUGCGUGGUGGAGCGGUGAAAUGCUGAGAUAUCACGCAGAACCCCGAUUGCGAAGGCAGACUGCCAAGCCAUGACUGACGCUGAUGCACGAAAGCGUGGGGAUCAAACAGGAUUAGAUACCCUUGUAGUC
rnacentral:rRNA from 1 species